rnacentral:rRNA from 1 species
CGGAUCAGCAUGCCGCGGUGAAUACGUUCCCGGGCCUUGUACACACCGCCCGUCAUACCAUGGGAGUUUGUAACACCCGAAGUCAGUAUCCUAACCGCGAAGGGGGGAGCUGCCGAAGGUGGGAUAAGCGACUGGGGUGAAGUCGUAACAAGGUAGC